AGAGUUUGAUCCUGGCUCAGAGUGAACGCUGGCGGCGUGGAUUAGGCAUGCAAGUCGAACGAUCUUAUAGUUGCGAUGCGGUGGUAGCAAUACUAYCGCAAAGUUGCUGUUUGAUAGUGGCAAAAGGGUGCGUAAUACAUGGGUAAUUUACCCUUAGGUUCGGAAUAACUUCGCGAAAGYGAGGCUAAUACUGGAUAAGACCCCGGCCCGGCAUCGGGCUGAGGUUAAAGGGGAGGACCGUAAGGCUUCCCACCUUUGGAUGAGCCCGUGUCCUAUCAGCUAGUUGGUGAGGUAACGGCCCACCAAGGCUUUUGACGGGUAGCUGGCCUGAGAGGGUGGUCAGCCACAUUGGGACUGAGACACUGCCCAGACUCCUACGGGAGGCUGCAGUCGAGGAUCUUUAGCAAUGGGCGAAAGCCUGACUAUGCGACGCCGCGUGGAYGAUGAAGGCCUUCGGGUUGUAAAGUCCUGUUAGGGGGGAUGAAUGUCCCGGUUCUAAUACAACCGGGAUUUGACAGUACUCCCAGAGAAAGCCACGGCUAACUCCGUGCCAGCAGCCGCGGUAAUACGGAGGUGGCAAGCGUUACUCGGAUUUACUGGGUGUAAAGGGUAUGUAGGCGGGCUUGUAAGUCAGGCGUGARAUCCCUUGGCUCAACCAARGAACUGCGYUUGAAACUGCUUGUCUUGAGUGCGGGAGAGGAGAACGGAAUUCCCGGUGUAAGGGUGAAAUCUGUAGAUAUCGGGAGGAACACCUGUGGCGAAGGCGGUUCUCUGGUCCGCAACUGACGCUGAAAUACGAAAGCUAGGGGAGCAAACAGAAUUAGAUACCCUGGUAGUCC
rnacentral:rRNA from 1 species